GAUGAACGCUGGCGGCGUGCCUAACACAUGCAAGUCGAGCGAGAUGUAUAUGGACGAAACUUCGGUCUAGGAAAUAUAUUGACAGCGGCGGACGGGUGAGUAACGCGUAGGCAACCUGCCCCAAACACAGGGAUAGCCUCGGGAAACCGGGAUUAAAACCUGAUAAUGCCAGAGAGUCACAUGGCUCGCUGGCCAAAGAUUUAUCGGUUUGGGAUGGGCCUGCGUCUGAUUAGUUUGUUGGUGGGGUAACGGCCUACCAAGACUACGAUCAGUAGCCGACCUGAGAGGGUGAUCGGCCACAUUGGAACUGAGACACGGUCCAAACUCCUACGGGAGGCAGCAGUGGGGAAUAUUGCACAAUGGGCGAAAGCCUGAUGCAGCAACGCCGCGUGAGCGAUGAAGGCCUUUGGGUCGUAAAGCUCUGUCCUUGGGGAGAAAAAUGACGGUACCCAAGGAGGAAGCCCGGCUAACUACGUGCCAGCAGCCGCGGUAAUCUGU
rnacentral:rRNA from 1 species